CACAAUAAGGCAGUCUCCAAGGCAACUCCCGUUUUGCAGAUAGAAGUACGGUCUACUCAGACCGCAUCUCUUAGACGUGUAAAAGCUAUACGCAGACUGACAUUAUGCAUGUUGACAUGUGCGAGGAAACCUCACUUGAAUUUGUGAAGUCAAAUUCUCUCUGAAUACAUUUCAUUUUAUUUAUUUUUUUGACUCAGUAUUGUGCUUCUCUCUAGGGGUUGACUGAAGAGAACAUCAGAUAUGACACUAAUUAUAUAUAACGUAGUGUGUAAACGAUUACACAGUAAGUUCAGGAGAGAGGUGCUUGUUGUGUUGGUUACAUAUUUUUAGACUAGGUUUUUGCAUGAUGCCUCAGUGGUCUUUUGUAUGCCUUAUCUCUCUGCAUGUGCUCAUAGAGGUUGGUGUACUUCUCAUUUCCUUGUGCUAGAGAGAGAAAGAGAGAGAGAGAAGGGGAGAGAGAGAAAGAGAGAGAGAGAGAGAGAGAGAAGGGGAGAGGUGCCAGAGGGAGGAGGGCAUGUAGACAUAAAGUGAUAGAGAGAGAGAGAAGGGGAGAGGUGCCAGAGGGAGGAGGGCAUGUAGACAUAAAGUGAUAGAGAGAGAGAGAAGGGGAGAGGUGCCAGAGGGAGGAGGGCAUGUAGACAUAAAGUGAUAGAGAGAGAGAGAAGGGGAGAGGUGCCAGAGGGAGGAGGGCAUGUAGACAUAAAGUGAUAGAGAGAGAGAGAAGGGGAGAGGUGCCAGAGGGAGGAGGGCAUGUAGACAUAAAGUGAUAGAGAGAGAG